CUGAUCCGUCCAGUGUACCCGGAAGCGAAGCGACGGAAGUGAAUGCAGACCUGCUCUGACCGUUGAAAUCCGCUAGAACUGCGCAGGAGGACAAGGAAACCGGCAAUGACAAGAGAGAGACUGGAAUUAUUAUCACUGCCAUUGGACCGGAAACCAGGAAGUUCAACCGCGUGCAUCUGAUAAAUGUGCGAGCAGACGAGGCAGAAUGACGGACAGAGAGUCAGACAUAACCA